UGGUGCGGAUCCACAAAUUUUACAACUCUGAACCUUAAGGCCUGCAUCCAUCUGAUAUUCUCCACGCCCUCUCAACAAGCAAUGAGGCUAAUGCAGAGGUAAGUCGGGCUUUUCCCCAGGAAUGAUUCAUCAACUUGGUUUCUUUUGGGAAGUUACUAUGCAUAUACAUUGGAAGAUUUGGUACGUAAGAGUAGUGGAACCACCUUUGCCAAAUUUUUGCUGGAAAAAUAUACUUUGUAGAUAGGUUCAAUCCCUAUUCCCUAGGGAGACAAAUAGUAGGUGACUUCUUCCAAUAUGUUCUAGCCUUGGUGGAAAAAAUUAAC